GCUCUUCCAGGGGGGAAGGCCUCGCGGAGUUAGGUCAUUUUCUUAUUUCUCCCGGGAACCCGACUCCGUGCCAGAGUCUAUAGGUCGGCCUCGGGCCCCUCCGCCUUGUGUGUCCUGCCCCUGGAUCCCCAUCCCGGUGGCCUCCGUCCAUUGCUGGGCACAGCCCAGCGGUCGGCGCGGCCUCGGCCUCCAAGACAUCCCAGGAGGCCAUCUUCCCCUCCCCCACCCGGUUGACGCCGCCUCGAGCUCUCCUCUGUGCCUUCUGCUCAAUCGCAUUUUGUGCAGCAGUGCCUAUGAGUUGAAGAUGAAGAUCAUUGUGAUAAAUGUUUUCCAAAAACCUGUCACAGAAGAUGGCUGUGAAAACACCAGGAGGACUGCUGCACAUGUAACAAGAUAA
rnacentral:lncRNA from 1 species